rnacentral:rRNA from 1 species
GACAGAGGUGCCAAGCGUUAGGCGGAAUCACUGGGCUUAAAGCGUGUGUAGGCGGAUGCCUAAGUACCUUGUGAAAUCCCACGGCUCAACCGUGGAACUGCUGGGUAUACUGGGCGUCUUGGGCCAACUAGGGGUCGCUGGAACAAAUGGUGGAGCGGUGAAAUGCGUAGAUAUCAUUUGGAACGCCAAGGGCGAAAGCAGGUACCUGGACCAUUACUGACACUCAGCUGCGAAAGCUAGGGGAGCAAACAGG